rnacentral:rRNA from 1 species
UACGGGGGGAGCAAGCGUUGUUCGGAUUUACUGGGCGUAAAGGGCGCGUAGGCGGCCACCGCAAGUCGACUGUGAAAUCUCCGGGCUUAACCCGGAAAGGUCAGCCGAUACUGCGGGGCUAGAGUGCAGAAGGGGCAACUGGAAUUCUCGGUGUAGCGGUGAAAUGCGUAGAUAUCGGGAGAAACACCAGUGGCGAAGGCGACUACCUGGCCUGUUCUUGACGCUGAGGCGCGAAAGCUAGGGGAGCAAACGGG